UCUCAUAAUCUGAAGGUCGUGAGUU
rnacentral:piRNA from 4 species